rnacentral:rRNA from 1 species
AGAGAUAGAAAGGUUAACUUCGGUACGAUCGGUGACAGGUGGUGCAUGGUUGUCGUCAGCUCGUGUCGUGAGAUGUUGGGUUAAGUCCCGCAACGAGCGCAACCCCUAUUGUUAGUUGCCAUCAUUCAGUUGGGCACUCUAGCGAGACUGCCGGUAAUAAACCGGAGGAAGGUGGGGAUGACGUCAAAUCAUCAUGCCCCUUAUGACCUGGGCUACACACGUGCUACAAUGGUUGGUACAACGAGUUGCGAGUCGGUGACGGCGAGCUAAUCUCUUAAAGCCAAUCUCAGUUCGGAUUGUAGGACUGCAACUCGCCUACAUGAAGUCGGAAUCGCUAGUAAUCGCGGAUCAGCACGCCGCGGUGAAUACGUUCCCGGGCCUU